UCCGAGUUGUCCCCGGCAGUCCUUUUAGAGUCCCCGGCAUUACCCGCUGGCAACUAAAAGCAGGGGUUGCGCUCGUUGCGGCACUUAAGCCAACACCUCACGGCACGAGCUGACGACAGCCAUGCAGCACCUGUGCUAGCCCCUUACGGACCCCCCAUCUCUGGAGGAUUUCCCUAUAUGUCAAACCCAGGUAAGGUUCUUCGCGUUGCAUCGAAUUAAGCCACAUGCUCCGCCGCUUGUGCGGGCCCCGUCAAUUCCUUUGAGUUUUAGCCUUGCGGCCGUACUCCCCAGGCGGGGUGCUUAAUGCGUUAGCUUCGGCACGGACGGGGUCGAUGUCCGCCCACACCUAGCACCCAACGUUUACGGCUAGGACUAC
rnacentral:misc_RNA from 1 species